rnacentral:rRNA from 1 species
CGCACGGGUGCGUAACGCGUAUGCAAUCUACCUAUAACUGAGGGAUAGCCCAUGGAAACGUGGAUUAAUACCUCAUAAUAUAAUUUCUUCGCAUGUUGAGAUUAUUAAAACUCCGGUGGUUAUAGAUGAGCAUGCGUCCUAUUAGCUAGUUGGUAAGGUAACGGCUUACCAAGGCGACGAUAGGUAGGGGGCCUGAGAGGGUGGUCCCCCACACUGGUACUGAGACACGGACCAG